rnacentral:misc_RNA from 1 species
AACGCACAUUGCGCCCACUAGUAUUCUGGUGGGCAUGCCUGUUCGAGCGUCAUUAAGUCCACUUAAGCACUGCUUAGUGUUGGGAGACUACCCCUCGUGGUAGCUCCUCAAAGACAGCGGCGGAGUCGUGUCAUCCUCUGAGCUUAGUAAUUACUUUCUAGCUUGCGAGCGAGGCGCGUCCCCUGCCGUAAAACACCCAACUCUUGUUAGGUUGACCUCGGAUCAGGUAGGAAUACCCGCUGAACUUAA